rnacentral:lncRNA from 1 species
UUUCAAGACAGGUUUUCUCUGUGUAUUCCUGGUUGUACUGGAACUUGCUAUGUAGAUGAGGCUGGCCUCAAUCUCAUAGAGAUCCACCUGACUCUACCUCCUGAGGGCUGGGAUAAAAGGGUGCAGUGUACAUUCCGGCACUAUGAAAGCUAAGCAGUUGGGGAUGAAGCUCCCAGGUUAGACAAAAUGUGGAGGUAGCGAGUCACUCGGUGUGCACAGAACCCCAUGGACACCCUUUGAGGAUGCUGGAAGACUGACUGAGGAGAAGAGCAUCAUUUCUAUGAUCUCUCCACAACCCAGUGGGGCAGGGUAUCAGAUGUCCUCUUGCACAAGGGCCUCCUAGGCCCCACCCAUACACCCCAGAAGUUUGCCUCAAGGUUCCCUUGAUCCACAAAAGCUGGAAAAGGAACAAAAGUCAGAUAAGGAGAGUCUGGCCUCUGCCUGGCAGAGACUUAAAAGACUCCCAGCUCAAAGGGCAAGUGGUGCCCUUUGCCUUAGGAGCUGUCUGUGCCUCAGUUUCCACACCCUCUCUCAGUGCCCCUGCCCUGCCUGAAGAACUGCAGCAUUCCCCACCUCUAUUCUGCUCGAGCUGCAUGUGUGGCAGGCACCUGGAAGCAGAACCAGCCUCCUGUCUCUCUAAUGAGUUAAAGCUAAGCAUGGUCUGGAAGAGUGGCCAGGGCCAGCUGGAUCUGCCAGCUCAGGAAGCCUGGCUCUCCCAGGCCCUUAUCUGGAUUUGUGUUCUUUUCCAGCCCUCUGCUCAUGCUGCCCACAGGGUUUUUCAGGCUCCUCAAACCAUAUGGAUUUUCCAGUUCAUGUGGCCUGUGUUUCACACCACAUCUAUCUAUAACCCUCUUUGAGGGGGCUGAAGGAAAACAAGCAAAUUCCUCAUCAGUGAACCAGGCAGCAGGUUUACUAAGCACAUAAUUUGCUAGUAUUUGCUUUGUUCAAAAUGUGUGGCUAGUUAAUACAUCCAUAUGGAAAAAGUUAUAAAUGUACAAAAGCAUAUUAAGUGAAACAUUCUUCUCCCACCCAUGUCCCCAACUACUACAGCCUUGUCCUGGAGACAAAUGCUAUUACCAGGUUUUCAUGUAUUUUUUUUUCUGUGCAUAUAUCAGGGCAUACACAGUUGGUUUCACUUGAAAUUCAUUCUUUGGGGAGGAAGAAGGGGGAGAAGAGAUAAGUUAUAACCACUGAAGUAUACAAGGCCAAAGCCAUUUAUGAGAAAGGCUACAUUUCUGGGCUUGGGUGUGAAGCUUAGACACACUGGUACCAGAAAGAGAUUAACAGAAAUAGGACAAAAGAAGGAAGAGACGAGAAGAGGAAAGAAGGAAGGAUAGAUUUUCUUGCUAUUCUUGCAGUUAACUUUGCCCUUGAGUUUUG